rnacentral:rRNA from 1 species
UAUGUACAUUACUAUAAUGUUAAUGCACUGGAUCACAUUAGAAAUCUACAGUUAAGCACACUUGGGAUAUUGUAAUACUCGGAUGGGUGACCACCCAUGAAGUCCUAGUGCUUACAUGC